GACUCCCUGGUACUGGAGUUAUGGAUGGGAACUCCACAGAUAAGCCACCUAAUGUGCUGGAAAUCGAAUGCAGGUCCUCUGGAAGAGCAGUGAAGUCCUUUAAGCAUCAAGCCACACACCCAGCUCCAUUCUUACACUGGAAACGGGCUUCUCUGAAAGUUUCUAAUGGUCUAUGUUUGCAAGUUUUCUGCAUCUCUCUUCUGGGCCACGAAAGGGUAUUAAAUACAUUAGGAGAGCUAUACUAAAGAACCUAGCACAGUACCUGCCACACUAGACAGUUGGGCAAGUUGAAUUCUAAUUGUUGGGGUGCUGGUAGAUACCUGGUUCUUACCACUGGGGCAUAUGGGUGAUUAAAGUGUCUGGUUCUCAGCCGGUGGUUGGGGUUCUGACUUGGUUUCGGCUCUUACUAGCUGUCUCAUGAGCUUGGCCAAGAGCUGGCAAUCUGCUCCCAGGACUGGCUCAGUAAUCCAGGAUGUCUUCUGCAGUGUGCAGUGUCUGCUCUACAAACCUCAUUCGCCUAAAACGACUACCAACCCCCCGAGCAGCAGAUCUCACAAGGGGACAAAAGAUGCAAGAGGAGAGGAAGAUUGCUUAACUUCCCAAUUUCUAAAAUGGGGAUUCGAGAGCGGUGGUGGGGACUACACCAGCUCAACUGAGCUGUAGGAAGAAUGUACAAGCCAGCUAUGGGCCACUAUCAGAGUUAGGGAAGUGCAGUACAGAGGAGAUGGUUGAGUCCUCAGAGCUCAUGUGGAAGGAGGCCAGCAUUCGAGACCAAGUAGUCUUACUGCAGAGGCUCUUAGUCUACCUCACGCUCAAUAUUUCUUUAAAGAACUUUGGUAUCAUUUUAGUGCUGGAAGCCUUUAACAAUUUCCAGCAUGUACAAUGUCUUUUGUGAUUUCACAUCAGGAAAAGCUUGUCUCUUACCAGAAACUAGGAUGCUUCCUCUUUUUGAAAAUAAGAAUUAUGCAAUUUAUCAUGCAUUUUUUUUUUUUUUUUUUUUGGUCUUGGCUGCCAGGAAGCUCAAGGCAAAAUCAUGUACUCAAAUCACCGUCACCAAAUUGUUUCCGGCUUCCUAUACUUUGUUCCUUAUUUUUACUUUUAAUUCUUUUUCCCCCCACCGACACUCUCUUUUGUGUUUCUUGUUGACAGAGGCUUCAAAGGUAUUCGGAAAGCGAUACAGAUGAAAUAAGCAAAUAAAACUCUGAAGUCCACGUGGAAAACCAGUAUUUUGAGAAUUAACUCUUUUCACUUGAUCAAAGGAAAAUGGCUAAGCAGAAAAUGAGGCUAAAUAAUUCAGGAGGUCCUAUAAAGGAGAGAAAAGCAGAACAAUUCACAGGAGCAGAGGUGAAGCCAAGGGGAGGCUACAGUGACUACGUCAGAGGCGGCCAGUGCCUGUGAUUCUCUGGCUGCAACCUAUCAUUCCCUAAUUAUAUCCUGUGUGUUUUGCAAGCUGUGAGCUGCUGUCAAAAGAACAGACAGCCUCAGACAGGGCAGGGACCACAGCCACCCAUGGAUCCUGACAUACCUGCACAGAAGCAAAGUCCCCUGAGGCACAGGCACCCAGAAUAGCAGCUCCCACGAGGACAGACUCCACCUCUUGUGACAGAACCACAGGCAUGCCUGCACAGGACAAAGACCACAUGAACCUACUCUCCUUGGGAUUUCUUGAGCCAGGUUCAGGGUCCUUCCAGAUGUCCAUGCAAGUGCCUCUUCUCCACAGCACGAAUGCAACCUGAGCUUUCCUGUGUCACUGCUUUAAAAUGGAGUGCUUCUUAUGAGACUGGGGUAUAAACAGCUUCUAGAAACUCACAAAAGUCCUUGUGUAAAUGAAGACAAGCUACCCUUGGUGGCAGAAUAAAGUAGAUGCAACCUUGCCACUGGCCAGCUCCAGUGAAUACACAGGGGCAACUGACCGUGCUGUACUUUAGGGCUCCCUUCUGGACCUGGGGAGGUAAGUUGCCUUCUCCAGACAGCACCUGGAAGUGGAUCAGGCUAUGGUCACCUGCAUGGAUGAACCACAGAGAAAAGGGACAUUUUUGAGAGGGAACCUCUAGAAACUACCAGUACGGUAAUCAAUGGCCUAAACUUUAACCUGACAGCAGCUGCAGCAAAAAGAGGACACGUUAGCUGCAAAUAGCUCUCCUGAAAGGGGAAACAACAUGGUCAUUUAAAGAGACAACAUCCUUCUUGGGAAGGAGUCCUAGACAUUUAUUGCCACUGUCUGGCACAUCAACAGAGAAGCAGCGAGCACAGCUCCACAGCAGCCUCCUGCAUUCCUUCAUGCCAGCGCCAGGGCUACAGCUGCAUGAGAAUGAGUGAGAGACAUUUCUCCCUAAAGCAAAGAGACACUGUGAUUGGGCCUUGAUAGCUCACCUCACAUGUAUGUGCACACAACAGAGGAGCAGCUGUCCAGCUUUAGCUCUUCUUGAUGUUUCUCCCCUGGACCACUGCAGAAGAGUCUACAUGAUAGCCCCCAGGCCUGUGACACACGAAAGGAUUAGCAACUCCUCCAGCUGGUCUUCUGGAUGUUCACCUCAGCGUCUGUUAGUUCCGGUCAGUUCUGGACUAACUUGAAGAUACACAACUGGCUGGUGAAGAUUCAACAGUCACAUGUGGAAUCCACACACGGGCCAUUAAGCAGACACUCUAGAGUCAGUCACUGCUUGCAACCCACAGUGUGCCUGCUGUUUAGCAAGCAUCUCUCAUUAAACAGUGACCUUGGAAAGAUGCCUGGGCCACUCCAGCUGCAUUUUGAACUGACUGACCUCCAACAAUGAACCUGCCGGUGUCACAUGCUAAUGUCCUUUUAAGCUAAGAUGCCAACACCAGAGUGACUUCACAAUACACAAAUACACACGUUGUGUAUCUUCAAAGCAAGGAAGAGCCACUCAAACGUCCAAUAAGGAUAAAAACAGCCACACACGAAAAAAUAAAAAAGAAGAUGAAGCCAUUCUUUGUGAUGUUUAGCUACAUCUGCUCUGAUAAUGAUGAAGACAGCUCUAACUCGUAUCCGUUUUACUUACCAAGAGAAACAGAGAAAAGGGGUUCUACAAAGACCUUCUUCUAUAGCCUUCCUCCUUUAGCCCAUUGCUUUGUCUUUGGAAGAUCUCAACACCCAAAGGUACUCUGUCCCUGGAAACCCAAUGGCCCAGAAAUCAGAUGUCUCCUGAGUUCUACUGAGACCCAGAUUUGGAACAGGUACUGAAGAAAAAUGAUUUAAAAAAAAAGAGCAGAGUCCAUGUUCUCAUGAAUCAUAAUGUUUCAAGCAGGAGAAGGCCGGAGUGGCCACUCACUCAGGGUUAUCUGCAAAUUGUCUUCCUGGAGGUGGAGUAAGGAAACAGCAGUCCUGCGGAAGCUCCCCGAGACACUUCAGAAGACCCCAAGUGGACAUGGGAAGGCUUAGCUACUAAAAGAAGAGGGCUGAAAUGUCAAAGAAAAAGACCAUAAUUUGCAGGCUAGCUCUCCUCUCCCUGACUUCUGACUGUACCUCCUCCGUUGGUGUGGAUUUCAGUCCUUUGGUAGCUUCUAGAGGUUUUGUGGGGUUAGUUGAACAUUGACAGACCAAAGCUUGGAAUUCAGUCUAAGAGCCAAAACCAGGCCAGGUUUCCAUAAUGCCUGGAGUUCCCCUGGAGAGUGUCAAGGGUUCCACUAUACCUAGACUGAUUAAUCACGCCUGGCCUCAAGCUUCAGACAACAAAGGGACUGAAAAGAAAAACAGACCCUGAAGCUGGAUUUUGAUUCUAGCCCUAUUUCCCGGUUCCCAGGAGACUGGGGGUGGGAGGGAAAGGUGACCCCUACCCGUAAGAGUCGGCUGCGAAUGAACUGGCAUGUGGAUUGGCUGAGCCCGCUCUGCUUGGAUAAAGACCCAGGGUUGUAGCAAAAUGAAGGACAUGUGGCUGAAAGAGGUUCAAAAAGAAUAAAGGCUUAGGUAAAUAAACAGUGCAGAAAAGGGGAGGGAAAGGAGCAUUACUGAAAAUCUCCAAAGGAAAGCACUGGCAAGUCUCAAGAGCAGCAAUGAAAGGCAGACUCCAAGAUCUACGAGAUCCCCACCACUGUACCUGCUCCAGGUGCCCACCUCCUCUUCUUGCCCUGUACCCUUCCUGGAUCCACAGGUAAUGGGGACCAGACAAAGGGGUUACUGGGUCUGAGGGAGAAAAUUCUCAAUACUACCUGAGUCUCAUUUUAGACAUAAGUAAUGUUCCUGAGCCUGGUCUUAUCUGUAAAAUGGAGGCGGUGAUUUAAAAAAUACAAGUGAAGGAGAGUUUUGUCCUGACUGGUUCAUGUUGGGCCUUAGGCCCUGAUGAGUAUCUCUCCUUAUCUGUCCAUAGCUUCAACUCCAAACCCAUUUACUGAGCCCAGCAGCAGGGAAAUGAUGCUUUCAGAAGAAUAACUGCUGUCUUCCACCAGCUCCCACCAGCUCCCAAUACCUCGUCCCAGACGCUCAUCCCUCUGCAGAGCUAGACUGAGCAUGCCUUUGAGAGACUCUCAAACUAGGCUUCUUAUAGGUGCAGCUAACUAGUAUGCCACACAGUUUGCCAAUAACAUUUCUGAGCACCUCCCCACUUAGACCCGAGGAUAAGUGCCAUCCUCUACUCAUGUCCAGUGCUACAGAAAAACAAGCUUCCGUUUCCUUGUUGCAGCCUUCACCACUAACACUAUCAUCCUCAUCUUCACUGCCAGUACCACAUCGCCGCCACCACCACCACAAGUGGCACUUGUGUGCUAUUUACAUGUGCCGGCUACAGGUCCAAAGACUUCAUGGAAGUGAAGUUAUCCAAUCCUCACAAGUGCCGUUAGGAUGCUUCACCUCGGAGGUGAAAGCUUACCCAGUGCGUAAAGCAAUCAACAGUGAUGGCAGAGAGUAUGAUGGCACAGGGUCUGAGUUCAGCAGCCCAGCUUCAGGGAUCACCCUCUGCAAUGCUCAGGAACAGUGUAAAAUGCUGUCUAUUUUGUGCAUGGCCUCUGGGCCCACAUUUUUCUUUGAUACGUGCCACAUUGCAUAUCCAUAGUCUUCUUCAUUCAUCUUCCACUGUUUCUCCACCUGAAUUUGGUAUUUCUGUCACACCACUGGUACUUUCUGCUCCCGUCUUGCAAGACUGAUAAUCAUGAGUCAUAAACAAAGGGAGAUAUGAGGUUCAUAAUCCCUUUUGCAAGUGAAGAAAAUGUUAAAAUGAUUUAAAAAGAACACAUUCAACCUUAAAGACCACCAAGUCAAACCUAGACUGUGACUUGGUCAGUCCUGUUUCUUUGUUCUUUGGAGGAAGACACCUGUCACAGGCUGGGAAGGUAAGUUGUGAAACUUGCUUCAGGGUCCCUAACAGCACUGGUCCUACAGCAGGUAGCGCUGUCAAGGGGUAUCACCACUCAAUAUCAGCCUGAGCAUUUCCUCAUUCAUAUCCAACCCUCUUCCUAACAUGUUUAUCAACUUAUAGCACCAACUGUGGCAGGCCAGCAGGGAUAAUAUUUUAAUUUUGAAAAUUAUUUUUUAUAUGCACAGGUACUACAACUACAAAUAAAUUUAUGCAUUGAGUACAACGUGUCUGCUACCUGCAGAGACCAAAAAUCGCGAUCAGACUUUCUGGAAUUGGGAUCACAACUAGAUGGUUAUGAGCUGCUAUGUCGUGGUGAGAAUUGAACCCAGGGCCCUAGGAAGAGCAAGUAAUGCUCUAAACCACUGACCCAUCUACAGUACACCCAGUAUCUUUUGAACCAUUUCCACUUAGCAUGGCUCUGUUUUCUUGAUCUACAGAAACUGUUUACAUACUUACAAGUCCUAUGAACAUGAAGAUUGCGUUUUGAUCCGUCUAACUCUUUAAUGGAAAUUCAUAAUUUUAAUGUAGUCUAAAUUACAAAACUUUCUUUUACAGCUGUGCUGACCCUGAGAUCCUGUUGAGUAUCUGCUGAUCUCAGGGUUAUAAAGAUCAUCUUCUAUUACUUAAUUCCUAUUAUUUCACACAUCAUAUUUAGGUAUAUAAUCCAUGUGGAAUUUAUUUUCAUGUUAGGCAUGAAUAAGGUGACAAAAUUAAUUUUUCAAUAUUGAUAUCCAAUUAUCACUAUCUGAAUUAAAAUACUGCCCCCCAAGUCACAGAUCUAUAGGGCCAGCUCUGUAACAAAGAACCUGCCCGUGCAUGGGUGUUUGGUUCUGGACUCCCUAGUCCCCGUAUUCUCAACUGUUCUGUGGAAGCUUUGAUGCUUGUCAGGCUCGUGUUUAUUUUUAAGGCUGUCUUAUCAUUGUCUCUUUCGACUCACUUCCAAUCUCCAGCUCUUUACACACAAACUUGCUAUAAUCUGAAUUGGACUGCACUGAAUCCACAAAACACUUGAACAGCCACAUUUACAGCCGAACCUUCCAAUACGCACUUAAGACACUUUACAGUCACUCAUGCUGAUUUAGAGUCCCUUGCAGCCACGCCUUUCUCAUGGCCACCUCCGGUCUUUGAUCUUACUGGAAACCAUGCUGAUGAAGGUGCAUCACUCUGUAAGCAGCUGCUUCUGAUCCCAGGUAGGAAACUGAGUUUUUAUAUUCUUUUGCAAUAGCAACCCUGUUAACUAUCUGGUUCAAUUUUAAUUUAUUCAUAGAGUCCUUUGGUUUUCAAAAUGCAUAUAAUUGUACACGAAGUCAGCUUUCCUUCUAAAAUUUGUAUUUUAAAUUUAUUUUCUUAACUUGUUGCACUGACUAGGAGUUUCAUCAUGAUAUCAUAGAAAUCAUAGAAGAAAUAUUGUAACAUUUUCAGAAUGCAGAUGCCUUAGGAUAUUUCUUUGUAGAUAUCCUUAAUCAGAAUAAAGAACUUCUGUUUUUACUUUGUCAAGACAUUUUUAUGUCCUGAGCUUUAUCAAAAACUUCAUUUAAACAGCUAUUAAUGUAUCAAUUUUUCUUUUAUCAAGAAUUUUCUUUUAUUAAGAAAUUACAUUAAUUGAUCUUUUGAAGAUGCAAUAACUCUACGCAGGUUGAGAAGACUGUUGGUCAUUAUCUCUUAAAUAUACCUUCUACUUUAUUUCUACCUUCAGGAGUGCAUCUGCAUUACUUCUGAGUGUUUUGCUUCUUUGCAUGUCUCAUAUUUUUCUGUGUAUUUCAUGUGUUUUACAUCCUUCUGAACAUUAUGUUGUAAUGUGGAUAACCUUUUCUCUGAUCUAUGCUAUCUUUCACUCAUUGUUUUUGAAUGCUGCAUUGUGUAUUGUUUUCUUUUAUUCUAUUUAUUCUCUUACAAUUUGUAAAUUUUUAAUUAAAAAAGAGUUAUAACAUUUCUUCUUCCCUUUUUCUGACCAAUCCAUCUCCUGACUCCUCCCCUUGUCUUCCCUCUCACUCUUGUUAAAUUCAUAGCCACUUUUAUGAUUUAAUGUGUGUGUAUGUAUAUAUAUGUAUAUAUGUACACAUAUAUACAUAUAUAUAUAUGCAUAGACAUAUAAAUACAAACUGUGGAGUCUAUUUAAUGUUGCUAGCAUACACAUUUUCAGGGCCAACCACGUGGUAUUGGAUAACCAAUCAGGAGGCUCAUUCCCUUUCAACUACCAAAUGUUGAAUGUAGAGGUCUAGAAAUGUCAAACAGUUCUAGGCUCUUUUCUAGUCUUGGUUCUUCAAGUCCUUUACCAAGUAGCAUUUCAAGCCCGUUAACAGGUGUGAGUGUGUGUGUGCAUGAGUGUGUGUGUGUGUGUGUGUGUGUGUGUGUGUGCAUACAUGCAGCAUUAUCUCUGUGUGUGUAUACAUUAAAUUUUACUCAGCCUUUUUGAUUCAGAGGUGGUGGAGGAUAGCCUAAUCUUAGUCAGGAACAAAAACGCUCAAUAAAUUCACCAGUGGAUAUUAAAAAAGUACUUUGUAUUUAUGAUCACCCCAUUCCAAUAACAGUAUUUUAUUUUAAGAGCAAGAAAAUUUUUGCAUAUGCUAAAAAUGUGGUUGCAUACAUGAAUGAAAGGGAAGCAUAGUCCUUGAUCUUCUGACCUAUGUGAAACUGGAUUUAAUAAAGCAUCCUGUGGAGUCACCUUACUAGCAACAGUAGGCCUGAGAUUUCAAUUUAAACUCGGAUGACCCUAUAGCCUCUACUCAUUUCUGUCAAAGGCGGUCGUGCUAUUAUUCCUGCUGCAGCGAAGAGUAUCUGUAGCCUUUCAUGACCCUGAUGUUGGUCAUGACUGCUCUUUAGCCUCUUUUAACACCUUUCACUCUUUCCUCCUCUCCACCUCUGUGAUACUGUCUCAGUUCCAGCCUUCACUACCUCUGCUCACAGCUCUCCACUGACAUGCUGACCUCCUUGCCUUCUAAGUCUUUGUUUAAAAACUCUUACCUCAAGAAUAAAAAUACCAAACUGUUAAAAAUUACAUGCAAACACCUCAAAUUUUUCCCUCACCUGUAUCCCCCUGCCCCCACAUCAACACUCACACUUAACAGUACAGUUGUUGUGAAAUAUUCAAUGUGUCUGUGCUGUAGGGUAGCAGGGGCAGUUUGGCACAUGCCCACCCAUCCCCACUCCCCAUCCUGCUCCUUAUCUAGCUUUCCUUCCAACAAAACCACCUCAUCUUAUUAUCUCUCUUCAUCACCUUUAGGUGCAAGCACAACACCAAUUUUGUCAAGGGAAGUGGAGUCUCACUGUCCUGAUGAGGCAAGAUGAAGUUAGAUCCCUAUAACACUGCUGCAUACUUUUAGUUGGCAAUCCCUAUAGCACUCCCUCCUGUCCUUGAGGUGAAGGAAGUAGACGCAUGUAUACUCACAUUUUUAUGGCCAGCACACUGCUUUCUGUUUACAGAGGACUAGUGCCUAGUUAUAGCAUGCCUCACUUGAAAAGCAGCAUGUUUUAUAUAAACUGCUAAGCCCCAGAAUGGCCCCUGGAUGCUCCUGUAGUGUGUAAACCUUGCAGUAGGCCCUUUCUCAGCUUCUGAGCUCUACUUUAAGGAGACUCGUUCUCUGCAUGAGUGACAACAGAUAGGAAUGAAACCUGGACUUGGAGUCACCUUGACAAGUGGUGGGCUGUCAUUUUUAUUAUCUUCUGUAAAGCAUAAAGGGAAAUCCAUUUCAGAUUCAAAAGAAAGAUAAUUUUACAUAUUUAGUCUGGUUAUAGUCAAGCUGAAGGAGCCAGAAGAUUAAAUGAACAUCCAAAAUCUUAAUUCUUAUUCAAUCCAUAGAUCUGUAGUAAGUAGGUAUCAAAUUCCUUGUCUUCUUUUCAAGACCCACUACAACAGCUUAUAUCAAGCAACCCCCUUUUGGGUUUGAUGUGUGUACUGUGCACAUGCAUGUGUGUGUAUGUAAUAUAUAUAUAUGUAUAUAUAUAUGUAUAUUAUAUAUAUGUAUGUAUACAUACAUAUAUGGUUUUCUAAGUGUGUGUGGUGUAUGUAUGCGUUUGUAUUUAUGUGAUAUUUUCAUAUAUGAGCAUUUUCUGGGUGUGGUAGUUCAUAACCCUAACCCCACCACUGAGAGGAUUAAGGCAGAACUGUAAUCUAGGCUAUAGAGUGAGUUCCAGGAUAACCUGGAGUUAGAUCCUGUCUCCAAACAAACAAACCAAACCAAACAUAGACAUAUAUCAAGCCAAAUUACAUAAGAGUCUCUUAACAACACCCUCGAUGACUUGCCAAGACUUGCAAAGAGGAGAGGGGAGAGGGAAAGCCAAAGGCUCACAAUCGUCUCUGCUUCCUUGAUCUUUAUAGUUUAUAGGAAUCCUUUAUACAUGGCUAAUGGCAGUGCCAAAUCCACUUCUCUAUCCUCUCAUAUUAUUCUCUCUGACCAAAAUCCUCUGCUUUCUACUCCUUUCUGAAGAAAAAAACACACCCUUUGGAGUUCAUUCAGUUCAAAGGAUACUCACUCCUUCCUACUUCCCAGUGGGAACAUGGUGGGAAAUUCUCAUUAGAGUGGUGGCCUUUGAGCAAGCUGGGAAUAGACUAUACAUGGGCCUCUUCAGCACAUUUCUGUUAGUCCAGCAUUCAUCAACAAAUAAAGUGUUUGAAUUCUUGUGCUUGCCACCUUAAAUGGUCCAGUAUUUAGCAUGCCACUCAUUCAUGCCUGGAUAUAUUCAUUCAUUUACUGAAGUCAUUCCUGGGCUUAAGAGAAGAAUAUAUACAGAUACCAUUGCCCAGAAGAAGCUCACAGUGCAGUGGAGGAGAACGUGGGAAUGUCAGUGUGUAUUUAGGUGUUUAAAUAUUAUUGUCUAUGUGUUAUACUUACUGCUGGGAAUUUAUACAAGUGGAAAGAAUUAUUGGGUCAUAUGCAUUAGUCUGGGCAAUAAUAUUACAUCACAGGAUAGCAGACAGUACCUAUGAACUCAUUUGAAGAGUCACAUUAUUUGGGGAUAUUUGAUAUAUUUCACAGAAUUGAACUGUGUGGGUAUUUCUUUACAAGUUUCAGCUGUGAGAGCCCUGUUUAUAGAAGGUGUGGGAUUUUUUUACUCAUAUUAACAAUACUGGUAGGAGAUGGUCCUGCAGGGCUUCAUGGUGGGGUGUCACAGGCUGACACACUUUUAACUCCCUAAGCUAAAUUCAGCACAGGAACCAAUAUGGAUCAACACCCUAACAUAUCCUCUUAAGAGAAGAGAGGAGAGACUUCGAUUAAAAAACAAAACAAAACCCUCAAUAAUUCUUUAGGCUUAUGUAUAUAUUUUAAAAAUCAAAUGCAGGUAAGUUAGCUAACUGGGGCUUGUUUGAGGCUGAAUACUUUGUAAAGCAGCAGCCAGACCUGCCAAGGCCACAGGGCUUGUUGUCACUGACGGGGUGCCAAGUUCACAUAGGGGCAAAAGACAGAAGACCUCUUCAUUCUCAGCUUCAUUCUGAAAGACAGCCAUCUAAAUGCAGGCUUCCCAUCACCUGGGAUAGUUGUUGUUCCUUCCACCCAUCUUGUCGCCUUUGAAGGUACCUGGGUAAAGCUAUCAGGUCCAUAUGGGGGUUGACACGGGAAGAUGGCAAGGCCCCAGUUCAACUAUUGUUCAGAAGCUGUUCUGGAGUGAGAGGCAAGUCACUGACGUGUAUUGUAAACUACUUGGAUUUUAUAUUAAUAAUGUUUCUGUCUCUGACCAGAUUACUGGCACAGGCACCUAGAAGACAGAUUUAGUUUGGCUCAUUGCUUUAUAGCGUUGAAUGUAUUGUUGCAGAGAGCCCAUGAUGGGGUAGCUCAGUUCUCAUUGUGGUGGGCCAGGAAAUAGAGAGUAAGACAGGAAGCAGCCAGGAAUAAUAUGCCCCUGAUGGCCUAACGAAGGAACCUAUUAGGCCCCAUCUCAGGAAGUUUCCAGGCCUCCUCAAAUGGUACCACCCUCCACUGACUAAGCUUUCAAAAUCUGAACCCGUGGGAGACAUUACAUAUUCAAAUAUAACAGGUGACAAGACAUGUACUCGAGUGUGGAAAAUAUUAUAAUGAAUAAAUAAGCUAGAAAUCAGAUAAACUCCUAUGAGUCGAUCUGGUUUUCAGCAAAAAUAUUCUCUCUCUCUUUCUUAUCCAUAUUGGGAAUUCAUUUACUGUGACUAAUUGGGAGUUAUCUAAAUAACUGAUUCUCCUGCUGUCCCUUCAGGCAUUUUCCACUCUCUGUCUCCAGUAAAUAGUGAUUUCUAAGUAAGUCGGGGGCAGGCAGAAAGCCAUGGGGCUGUGUAAUUUGUCACUGUCCCCCACAAAAUGAAGAUGGGAACAUUAAGUAUGAGUCCAGUCACCAGCUCACACGACCGUACCCAUGAACCGUCUCUCCAUUUCUGUUUGCAUUUCAAGAACAGUAUGAGAACGUAGGGUGAGGCACUAAAGGGGAAAGAAAAAGGGACAGAGAACGUGCUCCCCACAAGAGACAGUGGUGGGGUCAGGAGUGGCAGUGUAGGUGGUAAGGGUCAGCGCUGCCCCUCUUAGGUGAGGCAUCUAGAAAACAGGACUGUUGAGUGUUCAAGGUGAGAGACAUGCACACCGAGCAUCCUGACAAGGCACCCUCCUGCAGACUGGUCAGGGAUGCUUGUCCCUGAAAGCACAGUGGAAGCUUGCCAUGUCGAAACAUGCCUUAUCUACACCAUGCCUUCUAAUAUUUCCAGGCCUUUGCUUGCACAUGCUUUUCCUGCUUCUUGACAUGAAGAUCCCACUUUUAUCCUAGGAGAUGCUUUUCCUAAUUUAUUCCAGGAAAGCCAGUGAAUUCGCCCGAGUUCAUCACUUCCCAGAGGAACAGUGUAUGACAUAUGCCCACUUUUCUUUGCACACAAGUCUGCCUUCUACAUUCGCUGCAUAUGCACAUAAUCUUUAAACAUCUACACAUGGUAGCUACUGUUACUGUUCCAUUUCACAGGUGGCAAAAACAAGGCAUGAAAUGUCAAAUGAUUUCCUCAGGGCCCAACACUCACCUAUAGACUCGGGGCUUAGGUAGAUGCGAGUCCUUUACUAUUCUGCUGUGUUAUCUCUAAACAUCUAAUCCCCAGUGGCUUCAGAGCCAGAAUCGUCUAUCAGACUCACAGCAGCACAUACAGAUCAGCCCUAUGGAAAGUUAAGUGUUGGUCGGUGAUAGAACUGAAGUCUAAAGGUUUCUCUAUAUUUCAACAAUCUUCCUUAGCUUCUUACAAGCCAUUGAGGCAGGAUGGAAUUCCAACAGUUAUUUCUCUUUCCUGAGACAUUGUAUUCAGACACUGACCUAUCUGAAUGCACUGUUAAGAGAAAACUGAAAGCAAGAAGAUGAAGCAGGCCCACCUCGAAAGUCUAAGGAAGCAGCCAGUGGUCACUUGCAGGCUGCCGCAGGGCAGUGGGUGGAAACGUGCACUUUGCCACCAUCAAUGCUGCUGUGCUGUCACACAAGUAAACACGAGAGCCCUGGCAGCAGCAUGUAGAACACGUGUUAAACUCCUGUGCUAUGAGAAACAGCCUGCAGCACAAGGGCAAUCCUCAAGGCCAGGCCUCAAACUCAGUGGGAUCCCCUAAUGGGUGGGCGUCAGAGCUGGGGUUGGGCAGUUAUGUGUUCCUUUUAGUUGCUUUGCUAAGCUCAGCAAUGGAAAACACAAGCUCAUCUUUCCAGCCAUCUACCCAUACGUGAAGAGCGCACUGCAGCCCUCUGCAUGGGGAUCCUCCGAGAGAACAGGCGGGUUCUUGGGCUGGUGACAAGGCAAAAGCAUGCUGCAAACCAAGGCCCUACCCUCGCUCGGUCAAGAAAGUCUGCUCAGUUGUCAAGUACAGCCUGAUCCCUGCUUGACGCAGUGUGGCAAGGAAGCCAUGGAGACACGGCUGGGCAUACAGAUAGUGCCUCUCUGAACUCAAACCCUCCUUGGCCUCUAAUGCUGGCUAAUUCAUUUGCUUCCCGGAGUGCCAAUUUUCUCAGCCACUAAAAAGAAACAAUUCUUCCUUGUUCCUGGUGUUUGAAGAUGGCAAGAUACCACACAAAUAAAACUAGCAUGAAUAACAACAAAAUCAAUACUAUUAAUGGUAGUAAUAAACAUAAAACAUAAAAACAUACAAAUAGUAGUAAUGACUAACAAAAUUAAUACUAUUCCCUCUAUCGUAUUUCUAGACUUAUCUAACAAGUCUCAUAUGAUAGGAUCCGGGUUCUCAGGCUCCCUAGAAUCCCUCUAUCAAACUCAUUUCUUUGCUCCAGGCCUCAAUUUUCUUUUAUAAGUGGAUCUGGAAACACACUGACUCCAAAGAAAGUUAACUAGGAGUGCCUGCCGCCUUGUUCAACACACAGGUGUACAUAUAGGCUAAGGUAAGUGAAGGCAUGGACAUGCCAAGACUACAUAAGGAAGGGAAGCUCACAGGACCCAGUGUCAGUCUGGGCACGGGACCUAACGGUAUCAUGUAUUAAAACAUUACAAUGAGCAAGUUAAUGAACCCAGUGUUCCUUGGGCACUGAAUGUGGAGAACAAUGGCACUUACAGAGCAGUUCGAAGCCAAUAAUAGUGGCUGUUAAAGGUCCCAGCCAAGUACUUGGCACAGAGUGUAUGUGUUCAAUAAGUUGGAGGUGCAACAAAAAUAAGUAGGUUGAGCCCUUCAGAGGAAGCCGGUCACUACGUAUAUUGAUUGUUGACAGCUUUGUAGGGGACAUUUUAGAGCUUUGUAGAUAUUAAUAACAAAACAAAGAACUUAUUCAUGUAGAGCUUAGAAAAACUAAUUCACCUAGUUAGUGGCCAGCUGUGACAUGGACCCCAGCCAUUCCGUAGGAUACAUGGUAAGGAAUGGAAAACACCAGGACUCCUUUUCCCCUAAUUUGGAGAUGGGGUUACAUAAUGAAGCAGGGCCCCGAGUGCCCUCAAGCUGAACAAGCUCGUAUAGACUUUCAAUCCGGCUCUGAGCAAUUUUCUAGGAUAGCCGUGGGUGAUGCACUGUGUUCGUGAGCCUUGGUUUUGUCAUCUGAAAAUUAAGGAAUUUAGUAUAGAAACUCUUUCGGUAGCCUUUCUGUUCCCAAACUGUGUGAUCGCUCAUUAUCCACACAUGAGUGUGUGUGCGUGUCAAACUGUGAGCGAAAACUGUGAGGUCACAGCUGCACAUACUGGAUCACGUGGCACCAGAUUUAAAGAGGGGUGAGCUGGAGCCACAGCCCGAGGCCUGGGUCGCUCCCAGCUUUCUGUCUACAGGUAAGACUGGUCGCCUGGCCCCAGCCAAUCCUCUGUAGUUCUCCAAUAAAGUCCUGGAGUCCGGAACAGAAAUCCCCAAAUCUCCCACCGCGAGUGCCCGCUGUAAGCCUCCACUGUUGAUGUGCCUGCCACACUCAUAUAGUUGCUUAAAGCCACAAGCCUGAAAUCAUAUUAACUCACUCUUCCUGCUGCUUCCGAUCAUACCCAGAAACUCCCUGAGCUGUGCACUCUCUAUCUGCUUGGGGCCUGGCACGGCCUUUCUCCCUCAAGACUCCACAUGUAGCUUUAUCAGUGCUUGGAAUCCCCUCCCUUUCUCUUUUUUUUCCCUCUGAAAGCGUUCCCGGCUGCUGAGUUCCUGCUCUGAGUCGAGACCUGGCUCAUGCCAAGAAACCCUCAGUUCGGGUCUCACUGCCCACCUGUCAGCUGAACGCCAGUACCGCUCUGGACUGGUGUCCUCAGUGCCAGGGUGUCCCUGGAUUCCGGCUCCUCCGGGUUCUAGGUGAUAUCUUGUAAGCACAAAGCCAGAUUCUCGGCUGUAUCAUUAAGAUUUCAAAUCUGUAUUUUUCUCCUUUUUUGAAUUUACUUACUUAUUUUUUUUAACUCUCCAGAUUUUAUUCCCUUCCUGGUCCACUCCCCCUCUGAGAGUUCUACAGCCCAUACCUCCUCCCCACCCUGCUGCACUCGCCAUCUCCCCUCCCUGUUUCCACCAGAAUGUCCCUACUCCACCCACCCCACCACCCCACCAUCCCACCAGACCUCAAAACUUCCUGGGGCCUCCAGUCUCCUGAGUGCGAGGUGCAUCUCCUCUGACUGAAGAAUUUACAUUUUUCGAUGUCCUGCUUCCUGGAUUUAGCAAUCCCUACUUGUAAGUCCGCAGAAUCCUUGCAUGAUUGUCAAUGGACUUUUGCUGGAUGACGGGCAGACAGAGGGAAACACAAUAGGUAGGAUGCGUGCAGAAGAAGCAUAGCCUUUGAAGCGUGAGAUUUGAGAAGAUACCGCGGCGGUAACAGCCUGACUAUGUGCUGGUGACUGAGUGAGACUGUCUAGGAGGGGAGAAGGAGGUGCCCUAAGUAGUGAGGCCUGGGCACAAUGGAAAGAAGUGCAAAGUGGGUGUGCAUGGGAGAAGGCUGGGUCUCCCAGAAGCUUGAUGUCAGGAGGGCAGAUGCUGCAGAAAGCAGGCUGGUCCUGAACCGUCAAUCUCCAUGUCCAGUUUCCUUAUCACUCAGCUACUUCUCUGAGGAGCUUACGUCUCAGAGUAUUAAAAAGUACUGCAUUGGUAGGAAGGAGUUUCCUGACGUCAGCCAUCUCAGGAAUGAGCUCUCCCUUGCUGGCAGAAUCAACACUGAGUUCAUGUUCCCAGGCCGGAAGCCACCUCCUGUCCUGCUGCUUCAGAUGUUUUGUGUUGGUCUGCUAACCAGAGAAGGAUGUAAAGAGAGAGGCCAUUAUUCCGUUAUCUAAACUAAGGCACGGAAGUCAUAAUUGUGCUGUUGGUCUUGACUUAAUUAUUAUUGUUGCAGCUUGAUCAUUCCUUUGUUCCCUUAUCAUUAUAACAUUGCAGCCACACACUGGGCAGAGACCUGGCUGCAAAAACUGAAUCAAGGACCCUGAAACCAGGUGACACAGAUGAGGACUAGCCACCAAGGUUAGGUUUCUUGCUUGAACCCUUGUGUCAAAUAUGGUCAGUUAAUGGAAAAGCCCAUCCAUCCCCUAGCUUUGUGUUUCCAUCAUAUAAAAAUGUUGUACAAUCUCCCUUUGAGGAUGCUGUUCAGAUCCCAAACUGGCCGCCUCCCCAAGCUCUCAGAAAAUAAAGCUUUUAUUUUUAAGCUUCCAUAUCUGAAAGGAGUUUUCUCGGCUUCCACUCCGAACCCAACAGCAUUAGUAAAACCAUAUUUGGCUUACUUCUUGCUUCUGAAGAAAUAAGCUGAUUUGAUAAUGGGACAUAUUAUCCUUGUGGAUAUUUUGAGACAGAGCAAGGCUUCUUAGCCUCACGGUUGGUGAAGUCUAUGGCUGGGAAAUCCUGCAUUGGGUGGGUUGCACUGUGGCUGACAACAUCUGUGGUUUCAUUUUGCUACACACACCAGUGAUAACUCUGCCUCCUUGGAUGUUUCCAGAUACUACUAAGUGGACCAUGGGUGCCCAAAGUCAGCCCCUGUCAAAGAUCUACCAGCCUAGAGAAAAUGUGAGCUGCAGCCUCGAGCUCCAGUACAGUGCUGGAAUUGCUGUGGAAAGGUGAAAAGCAUGUGAAGUAACAACAGGCAGAGCCCUGGAGCCUUAGAAGACAGGACAGUUGGGGCGCUGGAGCCAAGAAGAGACCUGGAACAAAGUUAAUGCUAUUUUUACAAGCUAGAAAAAUAGCAGCAGCAGGAGUCCUGGCCAGAACCACCCCCACAAAGUGCAAACAAAACUCCUCCUAUCUGCUGCCUGUCUGCUGGAGAACUCACUAACCAGUCCCUUAAGAACAAAAUGUUCUUUUAUCUUUGAUUUUUUCAUUCCCACAAAGUCCUUCAUCCUCUGUUUCCAGACUGGAAAACACAUGAAUUGAGUUGUGUUGCCCUUUGAUCUUUAUCUCGCCCUCCCAGGCUGUCUUUGGGAAUGAGAGUCUAUGGGGUAUUUCUGCAGAGAGCUGAUCCCUCCUCCUGAUCAGAAUAUGGGGUCCAUAGCUGGUCAAGUCAAGCCAGCAUAUGUCAUCCUACAACUGUCAGGGAAACUUUCUGAGAGGCCUGCAUGGCAUCUCACUACAAAGGUGGGCCCUUACAUUGACAUUUGUGGUCUCAGCAACGGUUCUUAUGGCUGUUUCUGAUUGAAACCUAUACAACUGAGAGUACUGAUUUCCACAUUCAUUUAGAAGACAUAAGAAAGACAAAAUCAGGGCACCUGGCGAGACAGAGGGUGUCAGAUCUUUGGAUUCUUCUUUUCUGCCUGCCUAUAUACAGGGAAGUGGAAGUUCUGCUGAGAGAUAUUUCACCUGGAAAUAUCUCACCUGGAAGGGAACUUCAUGGACAAAUCAAAGGCCUUCAUCCACUAAAGUCUUCCUUUGUAAUAUGCAUUUUGGUUCUGGAGUGAGAAAACCAAAAAGAGAGGCUUCAUUAUUGGGUGCCUAAUAUGUGGCAACCACUAUACCAUUUGCUUUAAGGGGUAUAUGAAUGUGUGUCUAUGCGCAUGCGUGUGCGUGAUGUACAUAUCACUAGUUCUCACAGAAAAAAAAGAAAAAGAAAAAGAGCCAUUGCUAACCUUUCCCAUCAAAAACAAAAGCUUAAGAGGUAGCCCGUUUGUAGGCAGGACAAGAAUUUAGUCUGAUCAGAGACCUGCUAUCUCAAGCCAGCUCUAUAAAGCUUCAUAAACACAGCAGGAAAGAACAAUACAAGUCUCUCCCGAAGGAAUGACACUUGUCUGGUUUGCUCACUGCUGAUAAUGUCCAGGUCCAGACCCAGAACAGACGGGUCUGCACAAGCUUGUUAUGCAUCUUUAGUUUAUCUGUGGUCAAAUGGUCUUCUCAGGUCUCUCAUGCCUCUGUUCUGCUCUGCAAUCCGACAUGACAGAUACAAGGUGAUGAGGAGUAGAAUUUUUGCAUCCACCCUUUACCUUCCCUGCUACCCUAAUCCUGAGAUGGCUGCAAGGUGAUGGAACAAGAGACUGGGAAAAAAAGCUAUAAGGAUAAAACCUAAUCAGAACUAUCAGUAAUGAGAACCCCUUCACCCACCCUCCCCAGUCAGCACAGGCUUCAGUUCUGUCCUUUAAGAAACUAGGAAUUUAUUCUAUCUUUGAACUUCACAAACUCACUUUCCAUAGAUGGGGAACUGAUUAAUGAAUAUGAGAGAACUUUAGCACAGAAGACAUAAGCCAAAGAUUCUAGAAGUACUAUUUCUUUCAGUGAGCUCUGCAUUUAGGCAAUACAUUGGGACUAUCUAGGAGUUUCCCCUCUCUGACAGUACAGAGUGUCCUGGGCUGAAAUAAGAAGGUGAGUUUUGACACGUCCUUAGAAGCUGACAAGGAAACCACAAUGCCUGCAGCUCGCCACUGCAAGGUUCUCUUCCCUGAAGCAAGUAAUAGCCACAGCCAAGUGUUUGUCACCUGGGUGAAGCAAAUGGUUGAAACUGUCACCCCAGGGACAAUUGCAAAAGAGGGUGAAGAAAGCUCCUGCCUGCCUCUGUGACCUACAACGUCAGAGUGACUGUGAGGCAGGAACACUCCAUGUCUGUCCACACCUCCACUUCUGUCUGUGACGCUGCUUGAAAGCCCAACACAUGACAUUCUACUCAGAAGCACUGCUCAUACUGGGAAAUGCUGGAGAAAAACAACCUUGUCUGUGGUCAGAGCCACACCGUACAUCACCCAACUAUCCCAUAUGCAGUACUCGUGUGUAUUCUGUCUCUGGACCAGAGCCUGAGAACAGAGAGAUGAAGAGGGGAGGAGCCCUCAAGCUGAUAAGUGCCACCCAAUCCGAACAUCAGGAAACAGACGACACUUCACUCUAAAGUUUAGUGUGACUUUACUCAACGCAUUUCUUAGUCACCUGUAAAAACACAAUACAAGGCUCACUCCUAGGAAUAUGAUAUGAAUAAUACGACGUCCUUAUUCUCAAGGAGUUCACAGUCUGGUAGAGAAGAAAUCAGAUCAAUCAUACAGUUACAACACAACGUCAUCAUUUCUUUAAAUAAAUGACUGUGAUGAAAGAAGCCCAAUUAACAGAACAUUUACAUCUGACUGUUCCAGUGAACUCCCUGCGAAGGAGGACGCUUGUAUAGACCUCAAAUCGGAGAGCGUUACAUACCUGGAAAUGACUGUGGUUCGCGACACCCUCCCCCAUUGACAUAAUGUUAAAAGGUGGGAACUGUCAAUGGUGUUCAGUAUGGUGGGGCUGGGUAUUAAUGAAGGGGGCUCUGAGUGAAAGCAGCCCAUUCCACUGUGUGUUCCCUGUCUUUCCGCCUUUGAACAGAGACAAGCCUUUAGGAAAUAUCAGUGUCCUGACCUUUUAUUUCCAGGCUACAAAACUCUAAAGUAUAAAUUUACACUCUGGGUGUCUGUGGCCUCAGGUAUUCUGCUACAGCAGUGUAAAGUAGACUGAGACUUUAAUAGUCAUUUCUAGGCAGAGAACAUAUGUACCAAGACAGAGAUAUAAUGGAAUGAGAUCUGGAAACACAGUAUAUGUAAGUCCUUGAAAGAGUCAGCUCUUCAUUCUAAGGCACAGGCUUCCAACCUUCCUAAUGCUUGAAACUUAAUAUUAAGUUCCCCCAGCAAUUAAAUUAUUUUCAUUUCUACUUUGUAACUGUAGUUUUGAUACUGUUAUGAAUCAGAAUGUAAAUAUCUGUGUUUUCCAAUGGUCUUCAGCAGCUCUGUGAAAGGGUCGUUUAAUCCCCCAAAGGGGUCAUGACCUACAAAUUGAGAAUCACUUUCUCUAAAGUAAAGUGUGAACAAGUAAUUAAGUUUUGGACUCUUCCUGGGCCACCUGACUGGCUAAACUCUUGCCUCAUUUCUCCAAACAGCUAAAACUACAGGUACAUGUCACCGCACAUGCCUGAAGUUUUAUGAUGAUAAUGCAUUAUCAGACUUUCACUUUGGCCUGGUAAAUGCAUACAUACACUCACAAAUGGAAACACGGGUCUGCACCACAGUAUUUAUUUACCUUCACCAUGGGAGACAUAGUCUGCUGAGUUCUGACUUGCUCUGGUCUACUUUAUACCAUUCUAUUCUGCAAAUUCAAAGUCAUGUAUUAACAUUUGUGUUGGUAUAUUUGCCUUAUGAAUUACAAGCCCUAAUUUGAAACAAAUGUUCUUGUACUAAAGGUUAGGGAAAAUAUAUGACCAUAGUAAAAUUGAGAAAUUCUGAGUAUUAUAGUAUCCAAAAAAGAAAACAGAAGGAGUAGAGAUGAGAACACAGUCUCCACAUGUAACAAUAACUCUUUGCUUCACUGUAUUUUUCCUACUAAAAAUUGGGGGGGGGGAUUUUGGUUUUGUUUUAUUUCAUCCAGUUAGAUAGUGUUAAGGUGUUAAGAACUGAAUCCCAUACCCUACCCACACUAGACAAAUGCUUUACCAUUGAGCUCCCACACCAGUCGCGGGCUUUGUUUCACAUCCCUUAUCCCUAGCACCAUGCCAGAGUGUGGUGAGAGGUCAGCUGGUGUUUUGAAAAAUGAAUAAACAAAUACGAGACCUGAAGACUUGAAAGUUACAUAGAAAACGAAACCGAGACAUCAAUUGGGUAAUUGAAUUUAUGAAAAAAGCUAUUUUACUAAAUCAAUAUAUUAUGCUUAGAAGACGACAUGAAACACUCUACCAUCACCCACUAUAGAUGCAAAUGAACGUACAUUUUUUUGAAUUUCAGUAAGCUGCAGAACUAUCUAGAUUAAUUUUUAUAUUGUGAUGUAUUAAGAAAUUAAUAAUUUAGAAACAAAUUAUAUAUGUGAUUAAAAGUUGCCUAACUCUAUUCAAGAGCCUACAUGGAUAAAGGCGUUCCGUUCUUACACCUUGACUCAUCAGCCCUUGACCUUUGCGGGGAAACAGAGAAGGAUCCUGGCUUCUUGGCAACACUGUGUGCCAGAGAACCCACUGAACUGGUGCUGGGAGGGGAAAAGAGGUUACCUAGUCCUCCUGCGUGGGCAUCAAUGAGUGAGGCUGCCACCGCAAUUCCCGAAGGAAGGCCCAGCUCUCUGGCUGCUUCUGGUAUUAGCCCACUUCCAAGAGAAGCUCCAGGAGGCAAGACAAGAUUUCCUGGGUAGACAUGAGAGAAAACAAACGCCCAUCAGUCUGGAAUACACUAAAGGGAACUGGGGGGUGGGGGGGUUCUUAAGAAAACCUUUUUGCUCCAUCCUCCAUGCCUGUGUUUUCUCAACUUUACAAAGACAGAGACCAUGCAGCCAUGACAUGUCCUUUUGCUCAUUCCGUGGCCUUGGUAUACAUCUUUGAUAUGCAUGUAAACACACACUCCAAAAGAAACAGAAAAGUGACUUCGGUAGUUGUUUCCUAUCACAGGAUAAGGGAAGAAAAUAUUUUGUUCCAAGAAAGAAUUUCUUGAGUUUUCUGUUCCAGCUGGAUGAGAUAGCCCAGCUGAAACCUUGGGGAUUCCAUGAGGCUACUGCUUACACAGAAACAAUUCUUUGGAGUUUUGCAAUGCAGUAACCCUGAUAUUUCAAGCGACCUUGAGUUCUCACAGUCAGGCAGGCUUUUAGUUAAUAAUUUAUUGAUUGUCUAGCUUUAUGUGGGCGCUGUGGAGCGGUAAAAGGCUGUUCUUGUUUUCCACCUAGUUAGGGAGAUGAGAUAAAGACACAGAAAACCAUGUGAGGUAGAAGAAAAGGAAGCAAUCUCUCUGUUGCUAGCUGUUUGACAGAGGCAGAAUCCUUUUCACUCUAAAAGAUACUCUAGAUGGAUCUCUGCCCUCCAGGGGUUGUCUAAGACUUAUACCAUAUGUAUUAUACAAUCUCCUUUUCGCGUGAUUGAUUCUAGGAUGGGCAGAAGUGCCUUAGGAUUUCAGCUCUGAGAAAGGUAAAUGAACAUGACAAAUGGCUCCAACAGCUCACACUAACUAGAAGCAAAGCACCUCCCCAGUCUACACAUACAACUAUUUUAAAUGUUGAGCUUCUGUCUACAACUCUGAAAAUAGGUUAGCCCAAAAGACUGAUAUCACUAUGGUUUUAGAGCAUCUUUAUUCAAAACUAAUUUUAAUUAAUUUACAUUUAAAAUUUAAAAUCAUUGAAUUUCUGUUUUGAAAAACAAAGUAUGUUUGGAAUAAUCUGGGUGUGUAAUUUUACUUUCCUAGCAUUCAUUUAAGAAAAAAAAAUUCUAGUGGAAAUCUAGUAUGUGAAUUGUGAUAUGUUUGGUGAGAAAUGCAGAACAUACACCAAAGAGUCAUUCAGUUUGGGAAGGUGAAUGUAAAAUAUCUCACUAUUAAUUUCACAUAAGUUGGGGGUGUGGUUUAUUGAUAUUGUGCAUAUUUAGUGUGGAUAGAAUCCUGGGCUUUAUUCUUAAGCACAACUAAAAAGAAUUGCCAAACCAAUUAAAUGUUGAAAUGGUAUUUUUAUCUACAUAUCUGAAUACAUAUCUGAAUUAAUUCAUCUA